rnacentral:tRNA from 1 species
GCCGAGGUGGUGGAAUUGGUAGACACGCUAUCUUGAGGGGGUAGUGCCCGUAUGGGCGUGCGGGUUCAAGUCCCGCUCUCGGCA